rnacentral:tRNA from 1 species
GCCAAGUUGGCUCAGAUGGUAGAGCAUGUGAAUCUUGAUCUUGAGUUGUGAGUUCAAACCCCACAUUGGGCA